UUUUUAAAUAACUUAAUAUUUUUUACAUAUUCUACCCACUUUUUAUUUCCCCCUAUUGUUUUUAACUUUUUAUCCAUUCUAAACAAAGAAUUUUACCCAUUCUAAACAAUUUCUCCAUGAAACUAUUUAAAAAAAAAAAACAAAUUGCCAAGUCAAAAAGAAAUUCACAAAAACACCAACAUGGACCAAAAAGGCCCAUUAACAAAAUCUAUUACAACAAAGAAUUUAAGAAAAAGUAACCCAAAAAGUUCACAAAAGGCAAACAAAUGUUGAAAAUUCCCGUGUCCCUCACACACAUUUAAUCCAACGGUUCUCCUUCCUCCUCCUUUCCCGAUCAUCGCUCCCCACUCACUCAAAUUUAUUAAAAAUCCAAAAAAUCAAAAAUUCACAAUUCGUAAAAAAAAAAAAAAAAAAUCACAAACCUCUAUCUCUCUCUCGUCUCUCUCAGAUCUGAAUCCUCCGUUUCACCAUCUCCGAUCUCUCUAAUGGCGACACCACCACCACCAGCAUCAUCCUCAUCACCGAGGGAAGAGUUCGUCUACCUCGCGAAACUCGCUGAACAAGCGGAGCGUUACGAAGAAAUGGUCGAAUUCAUGGAAAAAGUCGCCGAAGCCGUCGACAAAGACGAACUCACCGUCGAGGAACGUAACCUCCUCUCCGUCGCUUACAAAAACGUGAUCGGAGCUCGUCGUGCUUCGUGGCGUAUCAUCUCUUCGAUCGAACAGAAAGAAGAGAGCCGUGGUAACGAUGACCAUGUCGCAACGAUCCGUGAUUA
rnacentral:lncRNA from 1 species